rnacentral:rRNA from 1 species
AACAACUCACCUGCCGAAUGAACUAGCCCUGAAAAUGGAUGGCGCUUAAGCGGGCGGCCGACACCGCGCCGUCUGGUAAAGAAUUUUUUUUAUUUUUAUGAUCAGAUGAGUAGGAGGGCGUGGCGGGCGUGUCGAAGCGUGCGUGCAGACGCGCGUGGAACGGCCGCUAGUGCAGAUCUUGGUGGUAGUAGCAAGUAUUCAAGCGAGAUCCUUGAAGGGCGAAGCGGGGAAGGGUUCCACGCGAACAGCGCUUGGGCGUGGGUGAGUCGUUCCUAAGCCGAGUGGCAAUUGCUAAGUAGCGGCGAAAGGGAAGCGGGUUGACAUUCCCGCACACGGAUGUGGAGGCGGUGACGCGUAUUGGGGCGAACACGCUGGCGACGGCGCUGGGCAGAGUUGUCUUUUCUGUUUGACCUACCAAGCUCGCGGUGUGGAAUCCGCUUGUCGGGAGAAACACGCGUGUCGGGGCAGAGCGCCGGGGCUUUUCCGGCGUCCAGCUCGCCGUCGACGGCCCUUGAAACUUUGCCUGCUGAAAAUUUUUUUUGUAAGAUCCACGCCGUGGCGUACCGAUCACCGCAUCAGGUCCCCAAGGUGAACAGCCUCUGCUCGAUAUGAACAAU